ACAGCCAUUUCACAUUGAAACACCGGUUCUCGUACGAUCACUGAAGUUAAGCAACAUCAUACCUGGUCAGUAACUAGAUGGGUGACCGCUUGGAAAUACCAGGUGCUGUAAG